rnacentral:tRNA from 1 species
GCCUGGGUGGCUCAGUCGGUUAAGCGUCUGACUUCGGCUCAGGUCACGAUCUCACGGUCCGUGAGUUCGAGCCCCGCGUCAGGCU